UAAUAUAUAACACUUUAAACACAUUUCUACUAUUUCUCUAUGAAAUCUUUUAAGAUUAAUUGUAAUCUUAUUUUGUUUUAAUAUCAUAACUAGCUAGGUAAAAAUUAAAUAUUAAGCCUUCUAAAAU